rnacentral:rRNA from 1 species
CCUACGGGUGGCUGCAGUGAGGAAUAUUGGGCAAUGGAGGCAACUCUGACGCAGCCAUGCCGCGUGAGUGAAGAAGGUUUUCGGAUUGUAAAGCACUUUCGGAUGUGACGAUGAUGACGGUAGCAUCUAAAGAAGCCCCGGCUAACUUCGUGCCAGCAGCCGCGGUAAUACGAAGGGGGCAAGCGUUGUUCGGAAUUACUGGGCGUAAAGUGAGUGUAGGCGGUUUAGUAAGAUAGUGGUGAAAUCCCAGGGCUUAACUUUGGAAUUGCAAUUGUAACUAUUAGACUAGAAUUACUGAGAGGAGAGUGGAAUACCAGGUGUAGAGGUGAAAUUCGUAGAGAUUGGGUAGAACACCAGUGGCGAAGGCGACUAUCUGGCUGUACAUUGACGCUGAGGCGCGAAAGCAUGGGGAUCAAACAGGAUUAGAUACCCGGGUAGUC